rnacentral:rRNA from 1 species
UACGUAGGGGGCAAGCGUUGUCCGGAUUUAUUGGGCGUAAAGAGCGUGUAGGCGGCCAUACAGGUCCGUUGUGAAAACUGGAGGCUUAACCUCCAGACGUCGAUGGAAACCGUAUGGCUAGAGUCCGGAAGAGGAGAGUGGAAUUCCUGGUGUAGCGGUGAAAUGCGCAGAUAUCGUAAGGAAGACCAGUGGCGAAGGCGGGUCUCUGGACAGCUCCUGACGCUGAGGCACGAAGGUCAGGGGAGCAAACGGG